UCAGAUGAUAUGGACCCCAAGAGAUGAGCGAGAACCUCCAAUUGCUUAGGGGUCGCACUCUGUCCCGCUUGGUGGACGAAAUCUUCUCUCCUUUUAGAAUUCUUUCUCCCACACGCCUUUGCCCUCUUUCACCGAAGAGGAAAGAAAAUCUUCCAAGCGGACAGAGACCUCAAUUUCCAUUAGAUUCAUUCCUAAGCUUGCUUUGUUCCAGCAAGAUGAUCAGUCCGAGAGGGCUGGAGAGAAAGCGGUAAAAACCUCUCUGAUUCGGUCACCGAGCAGUCGGACGACUUUUCAGUAAGCCAGGAUGACCCCUUCGACGCUUCUUUCGCUGUAUACCCCCUACAUCCUUCGGAGGUGUAAGAAAGGGUACUAUAUAUAUUAUAUCUAUCUAUAUAGAGUCAGUAGGGCCCCAGAACGCUAAAUAAAAAGGUGGGGGAACAAGA
rnacentral:lncRNA from 1 species